rnacentral:rRNA from 1 species
UACGGAGGAUCCGAGCGUUAUCCGGAUUUAUUGGGUUUAAAGGGUGCGUAGGUGGCCUGUUAAGUCAGGGGUGAAAGACGGUAGCUCAACUAUCGCAGUGCCCUUGAUACUGAUGGGCUUGAAUGAACUAGAGGUAGGCGGAAUGUGACAAGUAGCGGUGAAAAUGCAUAGAUAUGUCACAGAAACACCAAUUUGCGAAAGGCAGCUUUACUAUGGUUUUUUAUUUGACACUGAGGA